AAUUUAUAGGGGACUUGGACGUAAACCUUCUUUAUCUUCAGCCUCGAGUGACGUGAGUCCUCAUGAGAAGGAGAAGACACGUCCGCAAUUUUCAGAGGAAUAUUUUGACGAAUUGUUUGAAGACCCGAGAUUUAUGGAACGACUGUACCAAGCUAUGGAUAAGAAGAGAUCAAGAAAAGACAA